rnacentral:rRNA from 1 species
UACAGAGGUCCCAAGCGUUGUUCGGAUUCACUGGGCGUAAAGGGUGCGUAGGUGGUCAGGUAAGUCGGAUGUGAAAUCUCCGAGCUCAACUCGGAAACUGCAUUGGAAACUACCUGGCUCGAGGGUUGGAGGGGGGACUGGAAUGCUUGGUGUAGCAGUGAAAUGCGUAGAUAUCAAGCGGAACACCAGUGGCGAAGGCGAGUCCCUGGACAACUCCUGACACUCAUGCACGAAAGCUAGGGGAGCAAACAGG